rnacentral:misc_RNA from 1 species
GAAAUGCGAUAAGUAGUGUGAAUUGCAGAAUUCAGUGAAUCAUCGAAUCUUUGAACGCACAUUGCGCCCCUUGGUAUUCCAUGGGGCAUGCCUGUUCGAGCGUCAUUUACACCCUCAAGCUCUGCUUGGUGUUGGGUGUUUGUCCCCGUCUCCGCGCGUGGACUCGCCCCAAAGUGAUUGGCAGCCGGCGUACUGGUCCCGGAGCGCAGCACAUGUCGCGCAAACGAGUGCCUUGGUACGGCGGCGUCCAUAAGCCCCUCUCUCACGCUCUUGACCUCGGAUCAGGUAGGGAUACCCGCUGAACUUAAGC